CAAGCUUCUGGAACUCCCCUGUCCAUCGAUCAGGUUACAAAAUUACACUUCGGAAUGCCAAUCUUUCACGCAGACUUGGCUCAAUAACAAUUCAGUGGGCGUCCUCCGAUCCCAAGCCCAAGCCAGCUUCCUUUUUCACCCAGGAACUCGAGAGUGAAUGUCAGCGAGCUACCGAACUCUGGAGGACAAAGGCCAGCCAUGCAGGUGUCCACUCUGAGCUUACCUGGCGCCUGGCCAGCAGGAUUUGCUAUAGAGCGAUGAGGAGAAACAGUCCCUGCCGGUUUUACCUCCCUAAUCCACGGGAGCGCCAGAGCUAAUGCGACCCUCCCUUUAGAGUCCCCAGCAAAGACUGGCCUACUUUGCACAGCCAGGACCCGAAUCUGCGCUGUACGACUCACCCAACGCACCACAUGGCUGCGCUUCUUCUGCCAGAUAAUCUGCAUUCUGCUGCAACACCGCUGUACUGUCCAGUUCUCCGGAUUAAGAUCGCCUUCUGCUUUGUAACGGUUAACAAUGUCAUUGUCGUUUUAAAAAGAAGUUUGGACAAAUAAUACAAACAUGAAAAUGCAAAACAAUAACUGCACAAAUUGUACCAUUGCACAAAAUAGUACCUUUUCUUACCAGCUUUAAUAUUUUUAUAGCAAAUGAUGGGGGUGGUUACUAUACUGAGAUGUACUGAAUAAUAAAAUGAAUAAUAAAAUGCA